UAUUAAUGGGACCCUCCUUGGGCAAAAGGUUACCUCUGCCCUCAGAAGCUUCACGAGGUAAAAGGAGACAAAGCCAAAACUCAGCAGACAUUAUAAUCGGCCCCAUAAAAACAGGACAAAACUUUCCAACUCCUUUGAUUCACAUCCUUCCUGAGUCUUUUAGAUCGGCUGCACUUGCAAAGAGGGAAGGACACGUGAAAUCAAAAAGGGCGUGAACUAUCAGAAAUCCCCUCACCGGGUUGCAGAUAAUUAACGUUACAGAUGCAGAAUCCAAAAGACAAAACGGGCCAAGUUGAAAUUCAUCAUGUACAGGUGUGGCGGCCAAGGACAUCUGUAACAACAAUGUUGGCCAGGCAGAAGCAGACAGCAGCUGCCUGAUGGACUACUGGGCGUCUUCCAAGCCAAGACUCUCUGACGAGCCGGUGAGCCUUUCAGACAAAAGUGAUUAAAACUCACCCAAAUCCAGGAUUGAUUGGCCCGGAUCCCCAGUGGAGUGAGUCCAGAGAACAAGCUUCAUUCUUGUGAUGGCAAUCAUCCAGCACAAUAAACUCAACCGAGAC